rnacentral:rRNA from 1 species
UAGGGAAUCUUCGGCAAUGGACGAAAGUCUGACCGAGCAACGCCGCGUGAGUGAAGAAGGUUUUCGGAUCGUAAAACUCUGUUGUUAGAGAAGAACAAGGACGUUAGUAACUGAACGUCCCCUGACGGUAUCUAACCAGAAAGCCACGGCUAACUACGUGCCAGCAGCCGCGGUAAUACGUAGGUGGCAAGCGUUGUCCGGAUUUAUUGGGCGUAAAGCGAGCGCAGGCGGUUUCUUAAGUCUGAUGUGAAAGCCCCCGGCUCAACCGGGGAGAGUCAUUAGAAACUGGGGGAAGUGAGUGCAGAAGAGGAGGGUGGAAUUCCAUGUGUAGCGGUGAAAUGCGUAGAUAUAUGGAAGAACACCAGUGGCGAAGGCGGCUCUCUGGUCUGUAACUGACGCUGAGGCUCGAAAGCGUGGGGAGCAAACAGG